rnacentral:rRNA from 1 species
AACGAACGCUGGCGGCGGGCUUAACACAUGCAAGUCGAACGCCCCGCAAGGGGAGUGGCAGACGGGUGAGUAACGCGUGGGAAUCUACCCAUCUCUGCGGAAUAGCUCCGGGAAACUGGAAUUAAUACCGCAUACGCCCUACGGGGGAAAGAUUUAUCGGGGAUGGAUGAGCCCGCGUUGGAUCAGCUAGUUGGUGGGGUAAAGGCCUACCAAGGCGACGAUCCAUAGCUGGUCUGAGAGGAUGAUCAGCCACAUUGGGACUGAGACACGGCCCAAACUCCUACGGGAGGCAGCAGUGGGGAAUAUUGGACAAUGGGCGCAAGCCUGAUCCAGCCAUGCCGCGUGAGUGAUGAAGGCCUUAGGGUUGUAAAGCUCUUCCACCGGUGAAGAUAAUGACGGUAACCGGAGAAGAAGCCCCGGCUAACUUCGUGCCAGCCGCCGCGGUAA